rnacentral:rRNA from 1 species
GACGAACGCUGGCGGCGUGCCUAAUACAUGCAAGUCGAACGCAGUGGGGACGGGUGAGUAACACGUGGGUAACCUCCCAUCAGAGGGGAUAACACUUGGAAACAGGUGCUAAACCGAUACUGAUGGAUGGACCCGCGGUGCAUUAGCUAGUUGGUGAGGUAACGGCUCACCAAGGCCACGAUGCAUAGCGGACCUGGAGGGGGAGUGGGCCAAAGUGGGACUGAGACAGGGCCCAGACCCCUACGGCAGGCAGCAGUAGGGAAUCUUCGGAAAUGGAGGAAAGUCUAACCGAGCAACGCGGUGGGAGUGAAGAAGUUUUUCGGAUCGUAAAACUCUGUUGUUAGAGAAGCGGUAUCUAACCAAAAAGCCACGGCUACCUACGUGCCAGCAGCCGCGGUAAUA